rnacentral:rRNA from 1 species
UACGUAGGUGGCAAGCGUUGUCCGGAUUUACUGGGCGUAAAGGGCGUGCAGGCGGUUUGUCUAGUCUAGGGUGAAAGCUCCCGGCUUAACUGGGAGAGGUCCUUGGAUACUGGCAAACUUGAGGGAGGCAGAGGAAAGUGGAAUUCCCGGUGUAGUGGUGAUAUGCGUAGAUAUCGGGAGGAACACCAGUGGCGAAGGCGGCUUUCUGGGCCUUACCUGACGCUGAGACGCGAAAGCUAGGGGAGCGAACAGG